GAUGAACGCUGGCGGCGUGCCUAAUACAUGCAAGUCGAGCGAACAGACGAGGAGCUUGCUCCUCUGACGUUAGCGGCGGACGGGUGAGUAACACGUGGAUAACCUACCUAUAAGACUGGGAUAACUUCGGGAAACCGGAGCUAAUACCGGAUAAUAUAUUGAACCGCAUGGUUCAAUAGUGAAAGACGGUUUUGCUGUCACUUAUAGAUGGAUCCGCGCCGCAUUAGCUAGUUGGUAAGGUAACGGCUUACCAAGGCAACGAUGCGUAGCCGACCUGAGAGGAUGAUCAGCCACACUGGAACUGAGACACGGUCCAGACUCCUACGGGAGGCAGCAGUGGGGAAUCUUCCGCAAUGGGCGAAAGCCUGACGGAGCAACGCCGCGUGAGUGAUGAAGGUCUUCGGAUCGUAAAACUCUGUUACUAGGGAAGAACAAAUGUGUGAGUAACUAUGCACGUCUUGACGGUACCUAAUCAAAAAGCCACGGCUAACUACGUG
rnacentral:rRNA from 1 species